rnacentral:rRNA from 1 species
GACGUAGGGCGCGAGCGUUGUCCGGAUUUAUUGGGCGUAAAGAGCUCGUAGGCGGCUUGUCGCGUCGUCCGUGAAAACCUGGGGCUCAACUCCAGGCUUGCGGUCGAUACGGGCAGGCUCGAGUUCGGUAGGGGAGACUGGAAUUCCUGGUGUAGCGGUGAAAUGCGCAGAUAUCAGGAGGAACACCCGGUGGCGAAGGCGGGUCUC